UUGAAAAGAAAAUCUCGAACCAUAACAAACGGCUUCGGUGGUGCAAUUUCCCACAUCACAGUCGUCGGAAUUUACGUCGGAAAUCAAGUUGGUCCCAGGCCACCUAUCAAUGGUUCCGUCUCAGGUGUGGAAGCCGGCUCUGAACGUCGGCAUUUAAACUUAUAUCUGUGAGAAAUGACUUCGACGGGUAUUCUCCUCGUGGGCUCAAACUUACAGGAGACGCGGUAUAUAACGUCGAAAAUGGAACUGGAGAGUUAACGAAAGUGGCGCAAUAAUUCGAGCGGUUAUCGGUUCGACCCGGCCAGUGAUAAACCGAAGCGGUAUGUACUUGCAAUGUUCCCGUAACAGAGCUAGUGUGCUGCAAGCCAUGGGUUGGGAUGCGGUUAGGCUGCCAGCAAAGUAUGCCGAAAUGCAGCAGAUCAAAGAGCAGAAGCGGGGACAGUUUCGACUGGUAGUGACGUGCAAUCCAGAGUACUACCGGUGGACCCAAAAGUUGAUUCUGAUGUUUCGUGAGGAUGCAUUGCGUACCAGGAAGUGGGUCAGAUCAAUUUUGAUCCUGUUGGUGAGAUGGCGUUGGCUGCUUAUUGUGGAGAUCCAGUGCCAAAGUGGAGAAUAAAUGUUUUGAAAUAGUGAUUCUUUAAAAGCACAAGAUUUGCGAACACUUUGUACGAUGGGUUGGCUGAUCCAACGUUGUAAGAUUGGAAA